rnacentral:rRNA from 1 species
UGGGGAAUUUUGGACAAUGGGCGAAAGCCUGAUCCAGCAAUGCCGCGUGUGUGAAGAAGGCCUUCGGGUUGUAAAGCACUUUUGUCCGGAAAGAAAUCCUCUGGGUUAAUACCUCGGGGGGAUGACGGUACCGGAAGAAUAAGCACCGGCUAACUACGUGCCAGCAGCCGCGGUAAUACGUAGGGUGCAAGCGUUAAUCGGAAUUACUGGGCGUAAAGCGUGCGCAGGCGGUUUUGUAAGACGGAUGUGAAAUCCCCGGGCUUAACCUGGGAACUGCAUUCGUGACUGCAAGGCUAGAGUAUGGCAGAGGGGGGUUAGAGUUCCACGUGUAGCAGUGAAAUGCGUAGAGAUGUGGAGGAAUACCGAUGGCGAAGGCAGCCCCCUGGGCCAAUACUGACGCUCAUGCACGAAAGCGUGGGGAGCAAACAGGAUUAGAUACCCUGGUAGUCCACGCCCUAAACGAUGUCAACUAGUUGUUGGGGAUUCAUUUCCUUAGUAACGUAGCUAACGCGUGAAGUUGACCGCCUGGGGAGUACGGUCGCAAGAUUAAAA